rnacentral:ribozyme from 13 species
UUUUUUUUUUUUUUUUUUUUUUUUUUUUUUUUUUUUCC